GUCCCGAAUUCCUCGACAGCCACGCCAGUUUUCUCGGUUGCUAAAAACUUCUAUUGACACCAUGAGUACAUUAAACACACAACAACAACAGCCAUACAUUCAUUCAAUAAUACACAGAACUUUAGGUACUUCAUCUCCCCCGUAAUUCACAACAUGGUCUGGUCUACGGAUCCGGGGUAUAAAGGACCGAAUUUCCUCUCAGGCCCGUUUGCUUCCCUCGCACUGCUUUCGGGGUAGGUAGGAGCACUUGCGCUUCACAAACUUUAUUUUCACGACAUUUAUGAUGCCCUUUAUUCAUGCGUCUGGCAACGCUGUAUCUGUUUCAUGUAUGGUUUUCAUCAUGUGGCUCAUAUUUCUAAAGCAAGUCGACAUUUCCAGUUUCCUUUUGCUUUUUGGUCUUCAAAUCAAAACAACUUGACGUCCUGCUGUUCGUAGUAGUCAGUGCUUGUGUGCCGUUAAAAAAAUGUAAAGUAAAAAAAAAAAAAUUAAUAUCUAUUCUAUUGAGGAAUCCCAGUAGCUGUGGUAUUUUUACUUGCAUGAUUUAAAUGAACUUGUGUUGAAAGUAACAGACCUGAGUUACUCGACACUGACUCAGUCACUGAGUGUCACACAAAAAAAAUGAACUUCAAGUUAAUCUGUAAUUUUUGACCCCUGAACAUCACAAAACGGAGAAUUAAUGUUCCACAGUGACAGCCGUAGAGAGCAGCCUGUGAUUGCGUGAACGUUCAUUAAUAUUCAUGUUUUUUGGCAGGAGACAGGUGACUUUUUUGAGUGGUAAAUUAUCACAGUUUCCCUUAUUAUUAAUGAAACUGUAACUCUCAGGACGGGCACUCUGUUAAUAAUAUUGUUCUCAAACUGGAGAUCUGCAAUGUGACGGACGAGGACAAGGAUGGGGACCGCUGUGGUGACGCUUCCCUCUGCAAAGUGGGGACAGGAUGAUGUCGAAGUGAAACCCUCACCAUGUAGUCCAGCAGUGAACCGCAACACCUUUCUACUCGUCCCAAGGAACUUGCAGAGACACAAAGGCUGUGUGAAAGAGGAGUAAGAGGAUGAGGAUGCUCUGCACCUUCACCAUGUUGUCCCUGUGGUUGGGAAAGAGAACAGCUGGAGCUCAGACUCUGCGGUGAACUGGGCUCAAUCUGCAGGUACCACAGUAGCAAGGAUAUUAACCUAAUGUGAGACGUGUGAACAGCUCAUCUCGACGUUUCAGCUCGUCGAGGUCGUAACAGAUUCCUGGUGACCUUAAGUGUUGCAGAAGGAAGUAAAAUUACUAUCUUUACAUGCAUCUCUGCCCAGAUUCCAGUGAAAUUGGGGCCUUACCCCUGUGGAGGAGAAGGAGGUGAACAGGAAAGGUGUGUGAACAGACCCAUGUUUACAGUAAGGUGUUUCACUAAGACACCUGGGCCAAAGGGCACCGCUGAAUAAAGAAUUUUAGUAGUAAUUCCA
rnacentral:lncRNA from 1 species